rnacentral:tRNA from 1 species
GCCGAAGUGGUGAAAUUGGCAAACACGCUAGAUUCAGGGUCUAGUGCCCGCAAGGGCUUCGGGGUUCGAGUCCCCGCUUCGGCACCA